GGGUGUGUGUGGCAAUCUUUCAUAUAGUUAGACCUCUGCUAGUGAGCAGCCCUGAUUGUAGUGCGGCCACUGAUGAUAUAAGGAUCUGCAACACAACCACUGUUAUCUGUCACUGUUGUUUCUAACCUGUCAGAAUUGAUUUGUGCCUUUCCUAGUGUUCUUUUGAGUAACUUAGCAAGUUUGUGAAGAUCAAGUUAAGAUCCAUCUCCAGCUAUACAUACCUUUGCUCUCUCAUCUCAGAAAAUGUUCAGCCACCUGCAUGCGCUCAAGCAAGAACCUGUUUGGAACAAACCUGAUCUGCAUUGUUUUCUGCAGCUCUAGUCCCACCUGCCUGCUUGCUCCCCUCUGGUCAGUUUUUGAACCUCAAAGACUCAUCUCAAGUCCAUCAAUCUCCUUCACCCAGAUCCCUCUCACCACUCUUUCUACCUGCAAUUGUAAGGAACUACAAAUCCUCAACCUGUCCUAGAAAAGAAUGCCUUCAGUCAUUAACUUAGUUUUACAUAUUGUAAGUAAAUCCUUGUGCUCCCA